rnacentral:lncRNA from 1 species
UCUAUUUCUGCUAAAGACAUUACUAGCAGUGAAAGUAACCUUAGUCAGUGAAAGCCCCUCAUAUGGUCACUCAAGCAGUUAUCAAAGGAGUUUGAUCUCAUUCACUUAUUUAUUUUGUCAAACAUUAUUAAUCACUUCCUGCAUAUAGAACCCAGAGAUGGUGCCCAGUCAAUAAUCAUUUCUUAAUCUCUUUCUAUGUGUUAAGUGCUGGGAAUAGGAAGAAAGGAAAAAAAGAGUGCCUGCCCUCAAGGAGUUUGCAAUCUUAACUGUGUUCCCCUGUAUGUUUACCUUUUAAUAAGACUCUUUCUCUGCAGCUUCGGGGUCAGCCACUGGAUCAACCUUCACUCCUUCACUAGGAUCUACAGGGCCUGGAGCCUACGCGGUUAGUGGCACUGCUAACCUGGAAUCUUUCCUUCUAAACUU